rnacentral:rRNA from 1 species
CCUACGGGAGGCAGCAGUGGGGAAUUUUGGACAAUGGGCGCAAGCCUGAUCCAGCAAUGCCGCGUGUGUGAUGAAGGCCUUCGGGUUGUAAAGCACUUUUGGCGGGAACGAAAAGGACUGUGCCAAUACCACGGUUCGAUGACGGUACCCGCAGAAUAAGCACCGGCUAACUACGUGCCAGCAGCCGCGGUAAUACGUAGGGUGCGAGCGUUAAUCGGAAUUACUGGGCGUAAAGAGUGCGCAGGCGGUUUUGCAAGACCGAUGUGAAAUCCCCGGGCUUAACCUGGGAACUGCAUUGGUGACUGCAAGGCUAGAGUGUGUCAGAGGGAGGUGGAACUCCGCAUGUAGCAGUGAAAUGCGUAGAUAUGCGGAAGAACACCGAUGGCGAAGGCAGCCUCCUGGGAUAACACUGACGCUCAUGCACGAAAGCGUGGGGAGCAAACAGGAUUAGAUACCCUGGUAGUC